GGAAGAAAAUUAGGGUUAUACGUCUCCCACCAAGCACCACGGCACCCUAUCCCGGAAGCAAUUCUGGGCGUUGUAAUUAUCCGGUUUUUGCGACGCUAUACGCAGAUAUUGCCCGGGGCUAGACCACAAACCGUACUAUUAAAGGAUUCUUACCUACGAACUUCUGGGGGGUGGAACGCUUGCGUUUGGUGAGGCUGUUGGCCAGCCGAUCAAUGAAGGUUGGCCGCUCAGAGGAUGAGUGCAACAUGGAGUCUGGCACCAUCUCCAGAUCGCAUCCCUUUGUGAAGAGGGGGUAGAUGCUGGAAUCAUCCUGGUCCUGCACUCCCUCUGACCCAGCCCUCAACUCCCCCACAGGCCUGCCUACAGCCCUACCUGCUUGGCCAGCGAGAGCCUGGGCUUCAGUGCUGAGACUCUGUAGGUAGUUGUGGCACCGCUCUUUGUGCUCCUCCAGGGUACUCUGCUGUUUGUAGCUCCGGCCACAGUAGUUACACUUGUAGGGCUUCCCCACUGUGGGAGAGGAAACUAUGGAGGAGACAGGAGACGGAUGGCAUGAGUUACUUCUCCCUGUACCCUGGCUCUACAAAACCAUCCAGGAGCAAAGGCUCAUGGGCUUGAGGAGGAAGGGAUGUCACUCAGAGUUUCAGUAUCCUUGUCAGCAAAACAAGGAUAAUGCCAUCUACCUUAGAGUCGUUAUGAGGAUCACAUGAAAAGACAAGCAAAAUGCUUUGUGGAUUAUAAAGCCUGAAUCAACGAUGACCUUUCUCCCUGUUUCUCUACUCACCUCCAAGGUAACUGACCCGAGUGUGUCCGGAGGUGGCCAGUGAGAGCAUCGCGCCGGCGGCAGGCGUAGUUACAGAAGGGACAUUUGAAAGGCUUCUCCCCAGAGUGAAGUUUGAUGUGGCGCAGCAGGUUCCCCUUCUGGGUGAAGGAGGCGCCACACUGGUUGCAGUGGAAGGGCCUUUCACCUGCAAGAGAAAGAACAGAUCUCUGAGGACUGCAUAUGAGAAAACUGAGGCACAAAAGAGACUGUGUUACUUGUCCAAGGUGACAUAGUGGUGGAACCCGGAUGGAACAUAAACAGUAAGCACUCAUGUCCUUAGCCACCCUCUACACAGCCAGUUGAGAGUCAUUGUUUCAGCAGAGGAGAGUUGGGCCCAUUAGAUCUUCUCUUCUGAAAUCAGUAAAAAUUUGACUACUCUAGAAAGCCUCCAAUCGGAUAUGAUUCCAAAUACCUAAA